GUAGGACAAAGUUAAAAGAGCCUUGUCAUCCAUCAGAUCCAAAGUUGGUGCUUUAAAAAAUAUACGAAACAAGAGUGAGAAGGAACUAAAAGACGUGCAUGAAGAUGCUUAUAGUUUGCAACAAUACAUUAAUCAAGAAUUUGCAAAACUGCAUCAGUUUCUCCAUGAAAAGGAGCAGAAACUCAUUCACCAACUUAAGACGGAAGAAGAAAAAACUCUGAAUGAAAUAGAAAAAAACCUUGACUGCAUCAAAAGUGAUGUUAUAUCCACCAACAUUACAGUGGUUGAUGCCAACUUGGAGCUCAAAAAGCUAGUCAUAGAGACUCAAGAUGAAAAGGAAGAAAACAAUUUAUGCAUUAAAAAUGAUGUCAUGGCCUUUCAGGAAUCAGUACCUCAUAACUCAGAAGUUGAAAAAGUACCAGUAUUGUUUGAGGAUGUAGCUAUUUCUUUCUCAGAAGAGGAGUGGAAGAUGUUAAGAAAACAAGACAAGGAGCUUCACAGGGAAGUGAUGGCACAGAACUAUGAAACCUUAAUUUC